CGUUCAACCUCACCCUUCCUUGCUUUUCCCGCCUAUAUACCGCCGUCGUCAGCUUACCCUAUGAAGGCUCAAUAGUAAGCGCAAUCGGCACAGCCCAGUACGUCAGGUCGAGGUGUAGUACAUGAGAGGGGAAGAGAUGGGCUACAUUCGCUAACAAUAGCGAACACGAACGCUGCAUUGAAACAUGUAGCUGAAGGAGGAUUUAGUAGUAAGCUGGGAAUAGAGUGCCCAACUGAAAUCGGCCCUAAAGCGCGCACAUACCGCCCGUCACCCUCUCUAAGACUACAAGAAUGCCCAUUAUCUAAAACCUUUCAACUGCAAAAGAGAGGAAAGUCGUAACAUGGUAAGCGUACCGGAAGGUGUGCUUGGCAAAAU
rnacentral:rRNA from 1 species